rnacentral:piRNA from 1 species
UAUAAACUGGGAUGUGUCCCCUGC